GUUGUCGCAAUCGCAUUUUGCCCUUAACGAUCAUCACCAAGAGUGGGGAAUUUUGGACAAUGAGCGGAAGCUUGAUCCAGCAAUACCGAGUGAGUGAUGAAGGCUAAUUAGGUUGUAAAGCUCUUUCAUAAGGAGGAAAAUGACAGUACUUAAAAGAAGUUCCGGCUAAUACCCGUGCCAGCAGCCGCAGGGAGCGAAC
rfam:Phytophthora infestans T30-4 supercont1.16 genomic scaffold, whole genome shotgun sequence.